GCUGACGUAGCUCAGUUGGUAGAGCAGCUGAUUCGUAAUCAGCAGGUCGGCGGUUCAACUCCGCCCGUCAGCUCCA
rnacentral:tRNA from 3 species